UCAAGUAAACAUUUUUGUUUCCACAGUGAUAAGCUUCUUUAUUUAGUUAAGAAUUACAUAUUAGAAUCUGCUAUGUAUGAAAGGACACACAUCUAAAUUAUAUAAGCGUAAGAAUAUUUUCAUCAAAUACUGAUUCAGCAUGUCUCUUCAGUUAUAUGUUGUAUAUGAGUUUAUUAUAAAAUGACUUCUCUUGAAUUUCUUUCUUAUUGAAGCUUAACCUUUAUGACAUCGCCAAAAAAUGUUGAGCCAUUCUUCAUAAGCUUAUCCAUUUCAGGCAUUAGCUAAAUGUCAUUUGGUGGCUUCUGUUACAUGAAUGUUGAAUCAGUAAGAGAAAUUAUCUGAAGUGGAUUUGAAGACUCUUCCUUUGAUUCUAGUGAAGAGAUCCUUUAAGACCCUGAGAAAACAUGUGGCAAUUCUCUGUGAAUUUGGAAAGGAAGCAUUCACCUAUGAAAGAAAAUGCUUCCAUCAGGUACUUCAAGGUUGAAGAGGCAGAGGACGAGUUAUCCACAAGGAAUUUGGAAGAGAAGCUUGUUUCAAAGUUGGAUGAGCCAUGAGAACAACUACCAAAUAAAUCAUUGUGUGGAAAAGAAUUGAUUUGGGAAUCAAUUGUCUGGGAAAGAAAAUCACAAAGAAGUGAUUGUGAAGACAUUCAUUUGUUCUUCAGAUAUGUAACUGUUUAAUCUGAAGUAAACUUUGGGAUGGAAAACUAUUAGGAACGUUUCUUGCUUAAUUUUGCCAUUGUACGCUCUGAUAUUGAUUGUUCAGGAUUAUUGAGCACACAUGCUGUAAUGAGAAUUGUAUAUAAUUUACUAUAUAUACUUACAUAUGAUAGACAUUAAAGGAUAUAUGUGUCUAGUAAUAGCAGAUGCAUGUUUCUGCCCACUAAAGAAAUGGUUGCAGCUUUUAAUAAAUAUGGCUAAGGGAAUGAUGUUAAGAUUACGUGUGUGUGUGUGUGUGUGUGUGUGUGUGUGCAUGCACAUAUUGUUCUGGAUUUCAAAUGAGUAUACAAAAUUAUCAUUAUCUUACACCACUUGCAUUGGGAUCUUCAGUUUUUCCUUCAAGAAGUGAAUUAUUAAUAAUAUAUUUAACUUUUAGAGUAUUAUUGUGGUAGGACUCGCCAGUUUCUUGCUACAACAUCUAUUCAUCCCUUUCUCUUUAGAAACAAACUAGAAUUUUUAUAUUGCUUCCCAUAAUAAAAAACAUAUUGCCUUCCAGAUUUUGCAGCUAAAUUUGGCUAUGGGACUAAAUUCUGGCCUUGAGUUGUUUAAGAGAGAUACUUGUGAGAGUUCUCUGAAGAUUGGUCAAAGGAAACUAACUCAGAUGGAAGAUCCAUUUGCCCUCCUGCCUUUCCUCUUAGCUUUUAGCCUGAAAAUCAGUGGUGAUGGCUGGAGAGCCAAUAGCCAUCUUGGAACACGACGUGAUUCUGAAGGUGGGAAGCAAGGCUGGGAUGGUACAGAAUAAAGAUAGGAACUUGGGUCCUUGAGAAAAUUGUGGAGCCACCAUAUCUACCUGUAAUUCCUACUUUCAGACCUUUUUCUAUGUGUGAGAGAUUUAUCUUAUUUAAGUCAUUGUUAUUUUUGUUGUUAAUACUGUUGUUGUUAAGCUAGCAUUCUAGUUGAGCCCAAGCUAGGACUCAGAGUCUGGUUAUAUCUGAUGAGCCCCUGGAUCAGCAUCCCUCAAUGCCAACUAUUAAAUGUAAUGGGUUAAUGAUGAAUGGAACUCUAUUUCACGUAACAAAGAACAACUUGUUAUGCCCAAAUAUUACGAGGUCAUAUUGCUCUUAUUUCUCUCUAACCUGAGAUUUGGGUCCGUGUUCUCUAUGAGAAAUUAGAAAUUUCUGUUGUGGUAUUCUGUUUUUGUGUUAGGAUCGUCACUGUAAAUCUACUUAAUAGUAAAAAUAAAAUCUUGCUUGGAAUUGUGAAUUAAAUGAAUUCUCCAUUGUGCAGAAACAGGAACAGCAUUAUAUUUUGUAUGUAAUACUCUUAAACAGUCAAUUCAUUUAUUCAAUUAAUAUUUUUGAGCUAUUAUGGGUUACAUAAGUUAUGGAGGGGCUUUGUUAUUUAGUCAACUCAUGUCCAAUAUCACAGGGGUCAGUUGUGAAUUUGGAAAAAAUAGAAGAAAAGAAAAAUUAAAGCAAAUGACAAAAGUCUAAAUAUUUUCCUCAAAUAAU
rnacentral:lncRNA from 1 species